GAGUGAGUUUGAGGAAGGACUCAUGGUAGAGCAUCUGCUUUGCAUCCAGAAGGUCCUGGGUUCAAUCCCCAGCAUCUCCA